UUCCAUGUCCAGUUAUCCAUUAGCCCCCCACUCUUAAUAUCUCUCUCUGCACACACACUGUACGUUCAAGACUUUGCCCUGGGGAUAACCAUUCUACCCAAGAAAUAGUUGACCGGAAAAAACAAAGAGAAAAGAACCAAAAACUCAACCAUCACCUGUCUCCAACACUUAUAUUAUUGCUUUUGGGGUUUUAUCAAUUCAUCAUCAUCAUCUCUCAGUCUCACUCACUCAUAAUAUUUCAUCCCCUUCUUUCUCAGAGCACGCGGGGAUGCAUAUAUAUGAAGUUGCAGAGAGAGAGAGAGAGAGAGAUCAGUGGCUCUGAAAAGGUAAAGUUUUGAGGAAGAUAUAUAAAUGGGUAUGAAGAAUCUCUCUUAACAAAGAUAUAUAUUGUACAAGAAGGAGCUGUCAAUUGAUUUUCAAACCAAAAAUCAUGUUUUCAUCUUGCAGUAGCAAUAUUAAUAGUACUUCUGUAAGUCCUUUUCAACCUUACUUUCCCUUGUCUUCUUCAAAUUACCACCCUCCUCCUCCUCCUCCUCCUCCUCUUCCCUGUGUGAACCAAGAGCCUUGUAGUGGAGACAUUUUCCUUCACCACAAUAUUCAAGGGUACCCCAUCUCUGGUCAAUUUCCACUUCAUAACAAUGCCUUAAUGGCACCUCCUCUUCCUCAAAGCUUGACCCAUUUGGGAGUUUCAUCAAACACUGUACCUCCUAGCAUAAACGCUGAUGAUCAUCAUCCCUACCAUAGUCACUAUGGUGCCAUUAACAAUGGUAAUAUUUUUCCUCAUUUCCUUCAUUCUUCUAGAGAAGAUAUAGUAGCGCCGCCGAUGAAGAAAGAUCGGCACAGCAAGAUCUUCACUGCUCAGGGCUUGAGGGACCGGAGGGUUAGACUGUCCAUCAAUGUUGCCCGUCAAUUCUUUGACCUCCAAGACCUGCUAGGGUUUGACAAGGCAAGUAAAACCCUAGAAUGGCUUCUCACCAAGUCAAGAAAGGCCAUCAAACAGCUUGGGACUCGGAACAAACACUUGACCUGCAGUACUAGCACUGGGCGUUCCAAGAGUUUGACUUCGAGUUCAGAGUGUGAUGACGAUGACGUCGAUUCAGACACAAACGAGGUGGAAAACGUAGCGAGCAAAGAAAAAGAGGUGAUGUUGAUGAUGAAGAAGAAGAUGAAAGAAUCUGAAUCUGCUAAUGUUUAUGGCAUGAAAGACUCGAGGGCAAAGGCAAGAGCAAGGGCAAGGGAAAGGACAAGAGAGAAAUUAAUGUGCACUACUAGGAGCGGGCCUCAGAUGUUGAACCAAUUGAAGUUAUUCAACGAGCUUGAUCACCAUCAAUCUAACAAUAAUUGUGAAACAAUGUCAUCAUCUUCAGCAAAGGCCAAUAUUGGAGAUCAUCCUGAGAAUCAAGAACUGGGCUCCCUCCUAGCUAAUCAGUUAGCUCAUCAUCAUGAGGAGGAUCCAUCUGUUCAUGUCAUCAAAAGAAACAAGUUGAAGCAGUAUUCAUCAGGUUAUUCCAAUUAUAAUCAGCAAAAGUAUCUCAAUGUGGUGUCAGCAGAAAGUACAGAUCAGAGUUCCAACAGCCACAUCCAAUUUCCCAAUGCAUUUCAAAAUUGGGACACCAAUGGCGCCUUCCCAUGCCCUAACAUUCAUUGUGCCAUUACCAGCAUCAAUCUUUCUACUGGAAAUUAAAUCUAUGGCAAAACUUGGGGGGCAAUUUGUUGCGAAUUUAUCAACGACUACAUCGAUUAUCGUCCAGAUUGUUAACAUUGGAGUUUGGCCAGGAGUUACAAGAAUGAUCGAAUUGAAGAUGGUUUUCCUUAACAAUGCAUGAGUAGUACUUCUACUGGAUCAAAGUUAUAUAUACCACUUCAAUUAUUCAUUCACUUAUCAAAACCACAAAUGAUGAUCAGCAUUUUUCACUUCUAAUGGUAACAUAUUUUUCUGUUAAAUUCAUUGGCUUGGAUAACUUAGCCAGAUACAACAUAUACAUACAUAUAGGACACAAUUUAAACAGGGAUAUGUAUAUAUGCUAUAUACAAAACAAUCAGAACUCACUAGUAGGUGUGUCUUUCUGUCCAUAUAAUUAUGGUUUCUUAUCCAAAGGGAGAUGUAUGCACACACACACACACACACACAUCCAUUGAUCAAAGGCUUUCUUAAUCAAUUAAGAAUCUGAGAAAUUCAAGUUCAUUCAAAUUCUAUUUCUGGAUCAGCGAAAGGACUAAUGUCUUACUCCAGUUGUUUAAAUUUGGAAAGGUUUGUGAUUUAAUUUCCUUCUUCCUAGCUUUGUUAUGCUACAGUGUUCUAAGUUCUAGGUAAAUGAAAAGGUUGUCCUAUAUAACAUUGUGACGCUAUGAUGAGUUUAUUAGGAAGUCUAGAUCUCCAUCAGAGGAUGGGUUUAUUGGUACGUAUGUACGUACCUUCUGAAUUGAUCAUAAAUGUGGGGAGAUUAUCCAAUAAGUAUUUUAUGUUAAGAAUUAAUUACAUACUUCUAAUGGCCGUUGAAUU